AUGGCCCCAAGCCCACCCCACUGCUCUUCAUUUGUGUGUGAUCAUUGUGGGCAACCACCUUUGGCUUCACUGCUGAAAAAAAGAAAAGGAAAACCCCAUGGUUUUGGACACAGAGGGUGUCUUCAACUGGUUCUUCUGUUUCCUGGUGAGUGUCGUUGUCCAGAGGUGCAGCUAUGGAAAGGUCUGACCGGUGCCAGCCCAGGGUGUGCCUUCACCCCCUGCCACCCACCCUCGGCCUCUCCUCCGCAUGGAGGCAAGAGGAGCCCGAUGGGGAAAAUUGCAAUACCUGAAUUAAUCACUCGGGUCAUUUUUCUGAACUGGCUGGGGACUGAUUUGGGGUGGCUUCAAUCAGGCAUGAAGAGCUGGGGGUGUGAGUGUAGGGUGGGCGCAGCCCCCCCAGCAGCUGCUAGACCCCCUGGAACCCUCCUGCCUUCUGCCUCUGGCCACAGCUGGAAGCAAAACUGACUCUUCCAUGAGGAGGGGACCCCGUUCAGGCCGGAUUCACGCACUUGGGGUCCUGCCCCUCGCCCUGGCUGGCGGCAGCAGCCUGGGGGACGUGGUGUCCCUCCCCCACCUACCCCCUGUCCCCUGGGGAAGGGCAGCUCGUCCGGCAGCGCCUGUCUCACCGCCGGGGGUGAUGCACAGGCAGAAAUGUCACUUGGUAUGUCACAGCCACCACCGGGGUUAGCACUCGGAGCAGCCGGAGACACCGAAGGAGCUCUUUCGGUUGCCCCUCAGGGCUCCCCAAGGGCCACCGUCCCCUCUCUCCCCCGAGCCCCUGGCUCGGCCCCGUUUCUCAGAACUGGGCUCGCCGUUCUAGCGAGCGUUCUUCCACCCACACGAGCCGAAUUGAUACAUGUCAGCUUUUCCCAUCAUCAAGUUCGCUUCAGCAUUAUCAAUAGUUUGGGGGAAUGAUUUUUAUCUGCCUUUGGGGGAGGUGACACACGCUCUCCCCGCAGGGUUUGCUGAUGCGGGGUGUUCCCAGCCAAGGGGGUCCCACCACCCACAGCCCCCCGUGGCCUCGUGUUCCCCCCCUGGGACCACCGUGCCAGGGCACAGGGCAUGGGACCAGAGAAGCCUUCCCUGGGGCCAUGGUGCAUCCCACACCAGCGUCCCACUCCAGCUGCUCAGCUCAAGGGACCCAGAGACACCAGCUUUGGGACACACGGACACUGCCCUGGACACACACCAGCUCCUGCACCUUCCUCCCAGUGCCUCCGGUGGGAAAAUUCCAGGCUCCCGUCUGGCUCUGACGCAGCCUUUCCAUUUUGCAGAACCUUAAAUGAUGGGCAAUCGUCGCCAUCUUUUUUUCUUUUUUUCCAGGAAAGCCAUUUUUUUUCAGGCUGAUACAGGGCACGGCACUGGAGUGGUGCAGCCCAGUCCUGCCGCGGUGACGUUAGCUCUCCCCAUACAAAAAAAACCAAAUGACUGCAGUGAAAUGGGAAGGGGCUGGUUUAAAAUGGGAAGUUCAGCGCUUCCUCGGGCUAUGGAACAACUCAACUUCACUGAAAAUAAAAUACAAAUUAUGGAUGUUUAAAUGUUUCUA
rnacentral:lncRNA from 1 species